rnacentral:rRNA from 1 species
AUGGGUUUCCUUGACGGAUCGCGGGCAGCACCACCGGAGGAAAUUGAGGAGGCAAAGGCGGACAAGACCGUCGAGAAGGUAUGUAACCCAGCCUAUGCAGCGUGGGUGGCUCAAGACCAGCAGGUUUUGGGCUUUCUACUCGGGUCUCUUUCCCGAGAGGUGUUGCUGCAGGUGAUGGAUCAUACGGAGAGCAGCAAGCCGUGGGCGGUGAUCCAGGCGAUGUUCGCCUCGCAGUCGCGCACCCGCGUCAUCCAGCUCCGCACACAACUCACAAACUCACGCAAGGGAGAUCUCUCUGCCACUGCGUACUUCACCUAG